rnacentral:rRNA from 1 species
UACGGAGGGCGCAAGCGUUACUCGGAAUCACUGGGCGUAAAGAGCGUGUAUGCGGAUUUAUUAGUCAGGAGUGAAAUCCUAUGGUUCAACCAUAGAACUGCUCUUGAAACUGUCUAUCUAGAAUAUGGGAGAGGUAGAUGGAAUUUCUGGUGUAGGGGUAAAAUCCGUAGAGAUCAGAAGGAAUACCGAUUGCGAAGGCGAUCUACUGGAACAUUAUUGACGCUGAGACGCGAAAGCGUGGGGAGCAAACAGGAUUAGAUACCCUGGUAGUCCACGCCCUAAACGAUGUACACUAGUUGUUGUGAGGCUCGACCUUGCAGUAAUGCAGUUAACACAUUAAGUGUACCGCCUGGGGAGUACGGUCGCAAGAUUAAAACUCAAAGGAAUAGUCGGGGACCCGCACAAGCGGUGGAGCAUGUGGUUUAAUUCGACGAUACACGAAGAACCUUACCUGGUCUUGACAUACUAAGAACCUUUAAGAGAUUAGAGGGUGCUAGCUUGCUAGAACUUAGAUACAGGUGCUGCACGGCUGUCGUCAGCUCGUGUCGUGAGAUGUUGGGUUAAGUCCCGCAACGGGCGCAACCCUCGUCGUUAGUUGCUAACAGUUCGGGUGAGAACUCUAACGAGACUGCCUUCGCAAGUAGGAGGAAGGUGAGGGCGACGUCAAGUCAUCAUGGCCCUUACGACCAUGGCUACACACGUGCUACAAUGGGGUAUUCAAAGAGCAGCAAUUCAGUGAUGUGGAGCAAAUUUCAAAAAUCCCUCCCAGUUCGGAUUGUAGUUUGCAACUCGACUACAUGAAGUUGGAAUCGCUAGUAAUUGUAGAUCAGUUAUUCUGCGGUGAAUACGUUCCCGGGUCU